AUGUCUCAGGUGGUGCCGAUCAGAGUGACAAGAAAAGAGUGCGGGAGUCUGCGAGGGAAGAGGACUGUGAGUCCUCACAGGAGCUACCAAUCAGAUCGUUUCCUUAGUCCUCCAGAGCCUCUGUUCAAUGCCAAGCACUCCCAGAACCUAUUGUCCAGCAGCAGCAUGAGGAGGAACAGCCAGAUCCACUUCCCUCCACCCGAACCUCCCCAUCCUCCACCCUUCCCAAAAGACAUAGCAAGCAAACCAACCAAGGAACGCGUAAUCUACCUGUAAGGACACAGGGUAAGACCAAAACCCUAACUCAUAGGGCCUAUGCCAGGGGUCUGCAAUUGGGUGCCUGUGUGCCAAAACCGGUCCAUAAGUGAUUUUAUUUGGCCCGCCAAAGCAGUCUGUUCUGAUCAAAGUAAAGAUGUGAUUUUUAAAAUAUUUUGACUGAUUUGGCUUUUCUAAUUCCUUGUACUUCUUGAGUGCCUGUUGAAUUUCCAAAGACAUUUAUAUUGUUCUGAUGAGUGUUUCUGUCAUGGUUUAAGAGGAAGUGUCUCUAACCACUCAAGGUCUUUACUUUUAAAGGAUUCUUAUUCAUGUUGAGCGGUGUUGUUAGGAAGCUGUUUAUUAUUUUAACUUGUUUACAGAUCUGAGGUGCCAAGCACGUUUUAUUCUCAGAGCACAUUAGAAACUACUCUAAUCUAUAUAGUUGACCUGCUGCUUGAAAUCAGAAUGUCUUAAUGAAAAUAAUGCAUUUGUCAUAGAAUGUAUGGAAGUAAAUGUAGCUUUAUCUGUUAGAGGGAAUAUUAACUGUAUGGGGUUAUGGUGUAUUUUAACACUGAAUAAUAAUGACUACUGGACAUAAAUGAUGCCAAUUCUACUGUGGUUUCUGUCAUGAGGGAGACAGGAAUGGGUGUCAUGACAGUUUGUGCACUUGGUGGAAUGUUGAAUGCAGAAGGCCUGACCACGCGAUAUCAACGCUCAAAAUGGAUUGUAGUAAGUCAAGUUUUACCACACAGCUUCCCUGUGUGCGUGAAUGUACAGAAAUGUUUGGACACUCUGUGUUCAGUUUGAACUGGAGCAAAUAGUUUUUCCUUUUUGCUCAUUGUGUAACUGUAACAAGGUUAUGUUCUGGGAACCAAGGUAACUUAAUUCAAAAAGUUUCAUUAUUAUGUUUUAAUAUUGGGGAGGUUGUUUGGAAGGAUUUGUGAAUUAUGUUGCUCACGACUUCCAGUGAACACAUAAAUAGAAUUAGAACACGUUAUAUACAGUGCCUUCAGAACGUUUUCAUACCCCUUGACUUAUUCCACAUUUUGUUGGGUUACAGCCUGAAUUCAAAAUUGAUAACAUUUUUGUUUUUCUCACCCAACUGCAAACAAUACCCCAUAAUGAGUGAAAACAUGUAAAAAAAAAAAAAUGGUUUUGCAAAUGUAAUUCAGAAAUCGAAGUAUUCAUACCCCUUUGCUAUGACACUCCAAAUCGAGCUCAGGUGCAUCCAAUUUUCUUUGAUUAUCCUUGAGACGUCACGACAACUUGGCUAAAUUGUUUGGACAUGAAUUUGAAAGAAACACACCUGUUUAUAUAAGGUCCCGCAGUUGACAGUGCAUGUCAGAGAAGAAACUAUACUAUGAAGUCCAAGGAACUGUCCUUAGAUCUGAGAUAAAAUUGUGAUGAGGUAUAUAUCUGGGGACGCGUAUAAAACUAUUUCUAGAGUGUUGAAAGUUUCCAAGAGCACCGUGGUCUCUAUCAUUGGGAAAUUGAAAAAUAUGGAACUACCUAGACUCUGCCUAGAGUUGGCCUUCCGUCCAAACUGAGCAACAAGGGAGGCUAUGACCACUCUGACAGAACUACAGAAUUCCUUGGCUGAGAUGGGAGAACCUGCCAGAAGGACAACAUUCUCUACAGCACUUCACCAAUCUGGGCUUUAUGGGAGGAUGGCCAGACGGAAAACACAUCUGAGAAAAAGGCACAUGACAGCACACCUACUUUCUGAAGGCACUGUAGAUCUCUAUGGUCUGACUAUUCUGUUGUAAUAUCAUUGUCCUGCUGAACUGUUGUUGUUCUUCCCAUCCACAGCUGAUAGAAAUAAUAAAAACAAAGAACCAUGAUGUAUGUAGCCAGCAUUGCCAAGGCUGUCGAGUCAAUGUCAUUUCCGAAUUACUCCCCUCCUACCCUUUCCAGUCUAAAACAGCAGCCUGAAAUAGUGAUUUAAUUAGGAUCCCCAUUAGUCGAUGCCAAUUGUGACAGCUAGUCUUACUGGGGUCCAAGACAAUACAGACAAAAUACUUUACAAUUUACAUUUAAAAACAUUAACAUGUUUGUUUGCAUCUAUCAGUUACACAUUUCAUGUCAGUACAUACACAGAAAGGUCACAUGGAGAGGCGUUGUGAGGUGUUGCUUUUGUUUUUUUAAACCAAGUUUGUUGCUCACUUGCGCUAUAUGAGAUGGAAGUGAGUUCCAUGCAAUCAUGGCUCUGUAUAAUACUGUACGUUUCCUUGAAUUUGUUCUGAACCUGGGGACUGUGAAAAGACCACUGGUGGGGUAAGUGUGUGUGUAAGUUGACUAUGCAAACAAUCUGGAAUUUAACACAUUCAUGUUUCUUAUAAAAACAAGAAUUGAUGCAGUCAGUCUUUCCUCAACUCUUAGCCAAGAGAGACUGGCAUACAUAUUAUUGAUAUUAACCCUCUAAUUACAAUUAAGAGCAAAAUGUGCUGCUCUGUUCUGGGCCAGCUGCAGCUUAACUAGGGCCUUCUUUGCAGCACUUGACCAUAUGACUGGACAAUAAUCAAGUUAAGAUAAAACUUGAGCCUGCAGGACUUGCUUUGUGUGUGUUGUCAAAAAAAGACAGACAGACCUCUCCCCAUCUUCACAACUCUUGAAUCAAUAUGUUUUGACCAUGACAUUAUACAAUCUAAGGUAAAACUGACUGCAACUCUUUGUUUAGGGCUGCUGUGCUUGCGUACACCCCCAACACACACUGCGACCAAAACAUUUUAGUAACCCACCCUCGUGACAGCAAAAAGAAUUUACGUUUUAACGUUCCUUUCCUGGAAUUCUGCACAUUUUGCCAUAGGAUGUAGGCAAAAGUUCG
rnacentral:lncRNA from 8 species